GCGAGUGUGGUGGAACUGGCAGACACGCUAGACUUAGGAUCUAGUGCCUUAGGGUGUGUGGGUUCAACUCCCUCCACUCGCA
rnacentral:tRNA from 1 species